GCACUGGCAAAAUCCGGUGCCGGGCGUAGGAACCCGCAUUUCCCCACAAGGCAUAAUAAAUGUCAGUUUAUACUGGUAUUUU
rfam:Vibrio sp. MEBiC08052 genomic scaffold scaffold00001, whole genome shotgun sequence.